GACGAACGCUGGCGGCGUGCUUAACACAUGCAAGUCGAACGGAAAGGCCCUGCUUUUGUGGGGUUCUCGAGUGGCGAACGGGUGAGUAACACGUGAGUAACCUGCCCUUGACUUUGGGAUAACUUCAGGAAACUGGGGCUAAUACCGGAUAGGAUCUCCUGCUGCAUGGUGGGGGUUGGAAAGUUUCGGCGGUUGGGGAUGGACUCGCGGCUUAUCAGCUUGUUGGUGUGGUAGUGGCUUACCAAGGCUUUGACGGGUAGCCGGCCUGAGAGGGUGAACAGCCACAUUGGGACUGAGAUACGGCCCAGACUCCUACGGGAGGCAGCAGUGGGGAAUAUUGCACAAUGGGCGGAAGCCUGAUGCAGAAGCGCCGCGUGCGGGAUGACGGCCUUCGGGUUGUAAACCGCUUUCGCCUGUGACGAAGCGUGAGUGACGGUAAUGGGUAAAGAAGCACCGGCUAACUACGUG
rnacentral:rRNA from 1 species